CAGCAGCCGCGGGAAUACGUAGGUCCCGAGCGUUGUCCGGAUUUAUUGGGCGUAAAGCGAGCGCAGGCGGUUAGAUAAGUCUGAAGUUAAAGGCUGUGGCUUAACCAUAGUACGCUUUGGAAACUGUUUAACUUGAGUGCAAGAGGGGAGAGUGGAAUUCCAUGUGUAGCGGUGAAAUGCGUAGAUAUAUGGAGGAACACCGGUGGCGAAAGCGGCUCUCUGGCUUGUAACUGACGCCGAGGCUCGAAAGCGUGGGGAGCAAACAGGAUUAGAUACCCCAGUAGUCCCUGUCUCUUAUACA
rnacentral:rRNA from 1 species